rnacentral:rRNA from 1 species
CACGUAGGGUGCGAGCGUUGUCCGGAAUUAUUGGGCGUAAAGAGCUCGUAGGCGGUGUGUCGCGUCGGCCGUGAAAACCUGCAGCUUAACUGUGGGCUUGCGGUCGAUACGGGCAUCACUGGAGUUCGGCAGGGGAGACUGGAAUUCCUGGUGUAGGCGGUGAAAUGCGCAGAUAUCAGGAGGAACACCGGUGGCGAAGGCG